AGCGUACACGGUGGAUGCCCUGGCAGUCAGAGGCGAUGAAGGACGUGCUAAUCUGCGAUAAGCGUCGGUAAGGUGAUAUGAACCGUUAUAACCGGCGAUUUCCGAAUGGGGAAACCCAGUGUGUUUCGACACACUAUCAUUAACUGAAUCCAUAGGUUAAUGAGGCGAACCGGGGGAACUGAAACAUCUAAGUACCCCGAGGAAAAGAAAUCAACCGAGAUUCCCCCAGUAGCGGCGAGCGAACGGGGAGGAGCCCAGAGCCUGAAUCAGUGUGUGUGUUAGUGGAAGCGUCUGGAAAGGCGCGCGAUACAGGGUGACAGCCCCGUACACAAAAAUGCACAUGCUGUGAGCUCGAUGAGUAGGGCGGGACACGUGGUAUCCUGUCUGAAUAUGGGGGGACCAUCCUCCAAGGCUAAAUACUCCUGACUGACCGAUAGUGAACCAGUACCGUGAGGGAAAGGCGAAAAGAACCCCGGCGAGGGGAGUGAAAAAGAACCUGAAACCGUGUACGUACAAGCAGUGGGAGCACGCUUAGGCGUNNNNNNNNNNGUGAGGGAAAGGCGAAAAGAACCCCGGCGAGGGGAGUGAAAAAGAACCUGAAACCGUGUACGUACAAGCAGUGGGAGCCUCUUUAUGGGGUGACUGCGUACCUUUUGUAUAAUGGGUCAGCGACUUAUAUUCUGUAGCAAGGUUAACCGAAUAGGGGAGCCGAAGGGAAACCGAGUCUUAACUGGGCGUUAAGUUGCAGGGUAUAGACCCGAAACCCGGUGAUCUAGCCAUGGGCAGGUUGAAGGUUGGGUAACACUAACUGGAGGACCGAACCGACUAAUGUUGAAAAAUUAGCGGAUGACUUGUGGCUGGGGGUGAAAGGCCAAUCAAACCGGGAGAUAGCUGGUUCUCCCCGAAAGCUAUUUAGGUAGCGCCUCGUGAAUUCAUCUCCGGGGGUAGAGCACUGUUUCGGCAAGGGGGUCAUCCCGACUUACCAACCCGAUGCAAACUGCGAAUACCGGAGAAUGUUAUCACGGGAGACACACGGCGGGUGCUAACGUCCGUCGUGAAGAGGGAAACAACCCAGACCGCCAGCUAAGGUCCCAAAGUCAUGGUUAAGUGGGAAACGAUGUGGGAAGGCCCAGACAGCCAGGAUGUUGGCUUAGAAGCAGCCAUCAUUUAAAGAAAGCGUAAUAGCUCACUGGUCGAGUCGGCCUGCGCGGAAGAUGUAACGGGGCUAAACCAUGCACCGAAGCUGCGGCAGCGACGCUUAUGCGUUGUUGGGUAGGGGAGCGUUCUGUAAGCCUGUGAAGGUGUGCUGUGAGGCAUGCUGGAGGUAUCAGAAGUGCGAAUGCUGACAUAAGUAACGAUAAAGCGGGUGAAAAGCCCGCUCGCCGGAAGACCAAGGGUUCCUGUCCAACGUUAAUCGGGGCAGGGUGAGUCGACCCCUAAGGCGAGGCCGAAAGGCGUAGUCGAUGGGAAACAGGUUAAUAUUCCUGUACUUGGUGUUACUGCGAAGGGGGGACGGAGAAGGCUAUGUUGGCCGGGCGACGGUUGUCCCGGUUUAAGCGUGUAGGCUGGUUUUCCAGGCAAAUCCGGAAAAUCAAGGCUGAGGCGUGAUGACGAGGCACUACGGUGCUGAAGCAACAAAUGCCCUGCUUCCAGGAAAAGCCUCUAAGCAUCAGGUAACAUCAAAUCGUACCCCAAACCGACACAGGUGGUCAGGUAGAGAAUACCAAGGCGCUUGAGAGAACUCGGGUGAAGGAACUAGGCAAAAUGGUGCCGUAACUUCGGGAGAAGGCACGCUGAUAUGUAGGUGAAGUCCCUCGCGGAUGGAGCUGAAAUCAGUCGAAGAUACCAGCUGGCUGCAACUGUUUAUUAAAAACACAGCACUGUGCAAACACGAAAGUGGACGUAUACGGUGUGACGCCUGCCCGGUGCCGGAAGGUUAAUUGAUGGGGUCAGCGCAAGCGAAGCUCUUGAUCGAAGCCCCGGUAAACGGCGGCCGUAACUAUAACGGUCCUAAGGUAGCGAAAUUCCUUGUCGGGUAAGUUCCGACCUGCACGAAUGGCGUAAUGAUGGCCAGGCUGUCUCCACCCGAGACUCAGUGAAAUUGAACUCGCUGUGAAGAUGCAGUGUACCCGCGGCAAGACGGAAAGACCCCGUGAACCUUUACUAUAGCUUGACACUGAACAUUGAGCCUUGAUGUGUAGGAUAGGUGGGAGGCUUAGAAGUGUGGACGCCAGUCUGCAUGGAGCCGACCUUGAAAUACCACCCUUUAAUGUUUGAUGUUCUAACGUUGACCCGUAAUCCGGGUUGCGGACAGUGUCUGGUGGGUAGUUUGACUGGGGCGGUCUCCUCCUAAAGAGUAACGGAGGAGCACGAAGGUUGGCUAAUCCUGGUCGGACAUCAGGAGGUUAGUGCAAUGGCAUAAGCCAGCUUGACUGCGAGCGUGACGGCGCGAGCAGGUGCGAAAGCAGGUCAUAGUGAUCCGGUGGUUCUGAAUGGAAGGGCCAUCGCUCAACGGAUAAAAGGUACUCCGGGGAUAACAGGCUGAUACCGCCCAAGAGUUCAUAUCGACGGCGGUGUUUGGCACCUCGAUGUCGGCUCAUCACAUCCUGGGGCUGAAGUAGGUCCCAAGGGUAUGGCUGUUCGCCAUUUAAAGUGGUACGCGAGCUGGGUUUAGAACGUCGUGAGACAGUUCGGUCCCUAUCUGCCGUGGGCGCUGGAGAACUGAGGGGGGCUGCUCCUAGUACGAGAGGACCGGAGUGGACGCAUCACUGGUGUUCGGGUUGUCAUGCCAAUGGCACUGCCCGGUAGCUAAAUGCGGAAGAGAUAAGUGCUGAAAGCAUCUAAGCACGAAACUUGCCCCGAGAUGAGUUCU
rnacentral:rRNA from 1 species